ACUCAGGAUGAACGCUGGCGGCGUGCCUAAUACAUGCAAGUCGAGCGAACAGACGAGGAGCUUGCUCCUCUGACGUUAGCGGCGGACGGGUGAGUAACACGUGGAUAACCUACCUAUAAGACUGGGAUAACUUCGGGAAACCGGAGCUAAUACCGGAUAACAUGUUGAACCGCAUGGUUCAACAGUGAAAGACGGUCUUGCUGUCACUUAUAGAUGGAUCCGCGCCGCAUUAGCUAGUUGGUAAGGUAACGGCUUACCAAGGCAACGAUGCGUAGCCGACCUGAGAGGGUGAUCGGCCACACUGGAACUGAGACACGGUCCAGACUCCUACGGGAGGCAGCAGUAGGGAAUCUUCCGCAAUGGGCGAAAGCCUGACGGAGCAACGCCGCGUGAGUGAAGAAGGUCUUCGGAUCGUAAAACUCUGUUAUUAGGGAAGAACAAAUGUGUAAGUAACUAUGCACGUCUUGACGGUACCUAAUCAGAAAGCCACGGCUAACUACGUGCCAGCAGCCGCGGUAAUACGUAGGUGGCAAGCGUUAUCCGGAAUUAUUGGGCGUAAAGCGCGCGUAGGCGGUUUUUUAAGUCUGAUGUGAAAGCCCACGGCUCAACCGUGGAGGGUCAUUGGAAACUGGAAAACUUGAGUGCAGAAGAGGAAAGUGGAAUUCCAUGUGUAGCGGUGAAAUGCGCAGAGAUAUGGAGGAACACCAGUGGCGAAGGCGACUUUCUGGUCUGUAACUGACGCUGAUGUGCGAAAGCGUGGGGAUCAAACAGGAUUAGAUACCCUGGUAGUCCACGCCGUAAACGAUGAGUGCUAAGUGUUAGGGGGUUUCCGCCCCUUAGUGCUGCAGCUAACGCAUUAAGCACUCCGCCUGGAGACACGAGUGG
rnacentral:rRNA from 2 species